GACGAACGCUGGCGGCGUGCCUAAUACAUGCAAGUAGAACGCACAGUUUAUACCGUAGCUUGCUACACCAUAGACUGUGAGUUGCGAACGGGUGAGUAACGCGUAGGUAACCUGCCUGGUAGCGGGGGAUAACUAUUGGAAACGAUAGCUAAUACCGCAUAAUAUUGAUUAUUGCAUGAUAAUUGAUUCAAAGAUGCUAUUGCAUCACUACCAGCUGGACCUGCGUUGUAUUAGCUAGUAGGUGAGGUAACGGCUCACCUAGGCGACGAUACAUAGCCGACCUGAGAGGGUGAUCGGCCACACUGGGACUGAGACACGGCCCAGACUCCUACGGGAGGCAGCAGUAGGGAAUCUUCGGCAAUGGACGAAAGUCUGACCGAGCAACGCCGCGUGAGUGAAGAAGGUUUUCGGAUCGUAAAGCUCUGUUGUAAGAGAAGAACGGGUGUGAGAGUGGAAAGUUCACACUGUGACGGUAUCUUACCAGAAAGGGACGGCUAACUACGU
rnacentral:rRNA from 1 species